rnacentral:lncRNA from 1 species
CUUCCUUCACCGUAGGACACCCAUCCUUUGCCGUUCUUCCACUUACCACGGUGACUAACUGUGUGGGGAGGCACAGAGGAGGAACAGUCAGGAGCUCACAGAUGACGGGGCCUCAUGCCUACCCAUCAAACACCAGCCCAGGGCCCGUUCCUGUCCCCAGGGCACCUUGAGACCAGCCGCAAGCUUUGCAGUGGGGAGUCUGGCUUUCCUCUCCAGGAAAUGAAGUGACCUCCUUUCUCUUCCCACCCUGGUCUUUUCCUGAGCCUUGCUCUAAGCCCCCUACCAUAGGAAACAGGAUUUACAAGCCAGCUGCUGUAAUCCCUUCAAAAUGAGCUUUGGGGCCAUAGGGACUCUCGGGGCGUUUCAUUUAUUCAAAACAAUAUUCCUGGCUCA